rnacentral:lncRNA from 1 species
AAUACUAAAAUAAAAAAUAAAAAUUUUAAAAACAGUUUCAAAAAGUAUUUUUAAAUUAUAAAAAGAAAAUUUGAAAAAAAAUAAAAAAAAAAUUGAAAAAAAAGUUUCAAAAAAAAAUUAUAAAAAUUUCGAAUCUGAAAACAUAUAAUCUGAAACUAUAUAAAAUUUUUUUUUAUUUUUUUUAUUUUUAUUUUUUUAUUUUUAUUUAUUUUUGUUUGUUUAUUUAAUUUUAAACCAAAGGUAUUAGGGAUAUUUUACCCUUUAAUGAAUGUCAUUUUUGUGACUUUUUCCUUCUAGUAUCAUUUUUGAGACAUAAACUUCAAAAGGUGCUAUUAUUGACAAUUGCCCUUGCUACAAUCAGAGAGAGAGAGAGAGAGAG